ACCCGCGUACAUGCCACCGGGGCAUCCCGGAGGCAGGAAAGGCUUCGGCCGGACAGGGAUGGGCAUGCGGCGCAUUAGGCAGUAGGCGGGGUAACGGCCCACCUAACCGACGAUGCGUAGGGGUUCUGAGAGGAAGGUCCCCCACACUGGUACUGAGACACGGACCAGACUCCUACGGGAGGCAGCAGUGAGGAAUAUUGGUCAAUGGUCGGGAGACUGAACCAGCCAAGCCGCGUGAGGGAGGAAGGUACAGAGUAUCGUAAACCUCUUUUGUCAGGGAACAAAGACUGGGACGCGUCCCCGGAUGAGUGUACCUGAAGAAAAAGCAUCGGCUAACUCCGUGCCAGCAGCCGCGGUAAUACGGAGGAUGCGAGCGUUAUCCGGAUUUAUUGGGUUUAAAGGGUGCGCAGGCGGUCUGUUAAGUCAGCGGUCAAAGCCCGGGGCUCAACCCCGGCCCGCCGUUGAAACUGGCAGUCUCGAGUUGGAGAGAAGUAUGCGGAAUGCGCGGUGUAGCGGUGAAAUGCAUAGAUAUCGCGCAGAACUCCGAUUGCGAAGGCAGCAUGCCGGCUCCACACUGACGCUGAGGCACGAAAGCGUGGGUAUCGAGCAGGAUUAGAUACCCUGGUAGUCCACGCAGUAAACGAU
rnacentral:rRNA from 1 species